GCCGAGGUGGCGGAAUCGGCAGACGCGCGGGACUCAAAAUCCCGUGGUGGCAACACCGUGUGGGUUCAACUCCCUCCCUCGGCACCC
rnacentral:tRNA from 1 species